GCUCUAGGAAGAUUGCACUCCAUUGUAUUUAUCCUGCAGCUUUGUGUAACCUGUCAGCCCUGCACACCCAGCUGGUAUUUGGGAGACAUGGUCAGGCAGCUGGAUGGUGAUUCUUUUCCAGCUUGAGCUGUUGACAGAGUUGUAGAUGGUGGCUUCAUGGAACUGGAAAGGGGAGCAGCCAAUGCUGUUAGAAGAGGAAGGAAGGCACUGGGUCUGUACGAGCUGCCAGGAAUCCGAUCUGCAGAAACCAAAAGGCUUUGUUAGACAAAUUGUAAGAGAAACAUAUAAUCUGUUAAUGUCAAGGUAAUGCUUUGUGAUCGGGUU
rnacentral:lncRNA from 1 species